AUGGUGAGUUUACUUGUUGCUGUCUUUAUUUUCUGGCGCUGCCCACGAUGCCACGGUCGUAUGGAUGGCGGAGAUGUCGGAGCAAUGUGUGCAUCACGCAGGAGGGCCCACCAAACUGCACCGACAGCUGACACCCCAAAUUCCCAGACAAGAAUAAAGAGCAGAGCAGACUGGCAUCCCGGGAUGCUUAUAGGGACAUGCUUGGAGGUGGAGAAGAUGGGAAGACUGGUACACCUGGUCUUGGGAACUGUUGUUGACAUCAAAUUGGUAUGUGGCCUUGAGCAAAUUCUAUCUCUCAAAGCCUUGGUUUCUGGCUUUGUAAAAUGAGGGCAGUGAUCUUUGCCUGGUCAACCUUAAAGAGACAAAAACUGGGGAGUGGAGGGGAGUUGUGUGUAUGACCAAGUUCUGAGAUGCUUAAAGCACUUUUACAACCUUGAGGCUCACUUAGUUUCUUUUAAGAGGUGAG
rnacentral:lncRNA from 1 species